ACGGGUGAGUAAUGUCUGGGGAUCUGCCCGAUGGAGGGGGAUAACUACUGGAAACGGUAGCUAAUACCGCAUAACGUCGCAAGACCAAAGUGGGGGACCUUCGGGCCUCACACCAUCGGAUGAACCCAGAUGGGAUUAGCUAGUAGGUGGGGUAACGGCUCACCUAGGCGACGAUCCCUAGCUGGUCUGAGAGGAUGACCAGCCACACUGGAACUGAGACACGGUCCAGACUCCUACGGGAGGCAGCAGUGGGGAAUAUUGCACAAUGGGCGCAAGCCUGAUGCAGCCAUGCCGCGUGUAUGAAGAAGGCCUUCGGGUUGUAAAGUACUUUCAGCGGGGAGGAAGGGAUGAGGGUUAAUAACCUUCGUCAUUGACGUUACCCGCAGAAGAAGCACCGGCUAACUCCGUGCCAGCAGCCGCGGUAAUACGGAGGGUGCAAGCGUUAAUCGGAAUUACUGGGCGUAAAGCGCACGCAGGCGGUUUGUUAAGUCAGAUGUGAAAUCCCCGGGCUCAACCUGGGAACUGCAUUUGAAACUGGCAAGCUUGAGUCUCGUAGAGGGGGGUAGAAUUCCAGGUG
rnacentral:rRNA from 1 species